GGAGCGCGCGCGCGCGCGGCUCGGAGGCGCACCUGUGAGGUGUCCCUGAGGAGAGGGAGGGCGCCCUGCGUCCGGCAGAGGAGGCGAGCAUCCCCGCUCAGGUGAUGAGGAACCCCUCGCGCACCCAGCGCAGAAGGCUGCUGCCGCCGGACGCCUCCAUUGUUUGACCACAACAAGGGCCGGAUUCUCACCCAGGCCGUACUUGGUAAGAGUCUUCAUGGACCACGGUGCUGCACGAGGUGAUUGUGUUUGCAGAGGUUUUUUUGUCCUUGAAGAGCACUUAGGGCUGGAGAGCAAGACACAUGCUGACGAGCAGAAGCUGACAGGCUUGCUGCCAUGUGGGAAAGUCCUUGGACGAGUUGUCUGCUUGCGGAGAGGUGUCUGCGGCUCAGCACUUAAGGAAGACCCAAAAUUCAGUGAGUGAGUCCCCAUCAACCACCAGAAACAGAA
rnacentral:sRNA from 1 species